rnacentral:misc_RNA from 1 species
CUCUGUGUACUCACAUGGUGGUUUUCAUCUUGGUCUCGCUUUUUCUUCGAAUGGCUGGUUGCCGCCUCUUAAAAAAAUACACAAUCGCAGAAUAAAAGGACGCACGAACUUGAAUGUUGCCAUUUUUACCUUUCCUUCUAUCCCCCACUGGGGGCUGAUUUUACCCAUCUCAUUCUGCUUGUCUGUUGACUCUGUUCUCUGUCCCCGCCUCUGUCUAUCUUCCUCUUUACUCUUUUUUUGUGUGUGUCUACUGGCGUUGUUACGGACUCGCCUUGUUUGCCAUAUCCCUCUUCUCCCACUUCACGACGUACGGAGUGCUGCUGUUGCGCUAUACCACGUAAUAGACAGGCAAGCAAGCGAGCCCAACGAAGGGCUCGCACUAAACAAAGGAAGGAAAGGUCUCUCUUCUACGUUGCUUCCAUUUCCGUUACUUCUUUCAGCCGUACUUUUUGCUGAGGCGGAGGGAUGGGGAGGCUCUUUUUCCUGUCUGUUUCCCGUUAUAUCUCACUCUUCCCUGCCUCCCGCACUCCCCGCCUUGCCCCCUCUUAGCACAACACCUUUCUCGUCGGCCGCAGUGCAUUCCGGCACAACUGCCUUUGCUGUCAACUCCAGCGAAGAGCUGAUGCGGUGGCCAGGGAAGCGUGUGCGCUGAGAGAAAGUUGUGCUGUGCAUCAGAGAGGGAAGGAAGGGUUAGGGAGGGAGAGGAGAAGAGAAUACAAGGCUUCGUGUGCCCACAGCCUCACUUAUUCCACCGUCAUGCCGGUGCUUUCAUUGAACAUUGCAUCCCUUUCUGCAGCUCCCCCUCAUGUAUGCUACUCCACGAGUGUACGCGGGAGGUGAACGAAACGACACCAGACGCUAAAGGUGGUGUGGGAAAGACAACGGAGCCAUCAAAGAAGAAAGAGCUCCCCCCCCCCCUCUGGGCAACAAGAGACGGAGCUGGAAGAAAAAAACGAUGAGAAGACGCAGCCUGUGACGGCGUCCUUGGUGUGUGUGUGUUUUGCAGGAGUCUUUUCUCGGUCUCUUUUUUUUUUCGUAUGGCGGCGUGCCCCUCGUCUGGCCUUGGCUCUCUCUCUUUCCUCCCGACUCGCUCCCUCCUGGGAUUACAGGGAAAGGCGAAAGAAAAGCACACAAGGCACAUACACACACACACAUGCGUGGCACAAGCGGUAUCGACACACCCUCCCAAAGCUGUGGAAAGGGGGCAGGGAGGGGGAACGGUGCCGAUCAAAACUUCUCCUCGUCGGGGAAAAAACGACAAAACAGAAAAAAACGAGGUCCCGAGGAGUACUUUCCUGUGUACGCAUCGGGACGUGUGCAGGUGCAUGUAUAUGUUUUUUUGCUUGAAAACGACAAGAUGCAGAGCGCACGACGGCAAGUUUAUCUUCUUCUUGUGCUGAAAGAACGGGGAAAAAGAGAGAACAGACAACAAAAAAGUGGGGAAAAAGGAGUGGAAGGACGCGAAGGGAAUAAAGGAAAAGGGGAAAAGGAGUCGAGAAACCCGCGCACACGCACUCAAACCUUGCUACGGGCGAUGUGUGUCCAAGCAAACGAAGCGUGCAGGCCAGCAGAUGCCGCAUGUAGAGACCAAUGUGCCGCUUUCAUGGCUGUUCGCUGCCCCUCCCUCCUCUCCCUCCCUCUCUUUGUCUGUCUUUUCCUCCUCCCUCAUACUUGCGUUUGUAUAUGUGUGUCGGCGUGCCAGCGUAGUGCUUGGGAUUGCCCCCCUUCUCCACGUUAUCAACUUUUUGUGUUGUUUCAAAUGAUAUUUUUUUGGUGUCACUGGCAGGUUCCCUUCACGCGUAGGUACCUCCGAUAACUCGCAUUCGAACCGGCACACGCACAGAGUUGCCAUGCGGCCGUAUUCCACAAACAAACAAACCAGCAGCCAACAGCAACGCGAAAAGAUGCUUUGUGGCUCUCUGUUUACAAGGAAAGGGGGAAAACGAAUAGAGAGAAUUCUUGUUUCCAGCGCAGUACCUUCCCUCCCCCCCCCUCUCCCUCUCUUUUAUGGUCCCUUCCUUUUGUUUCGGGUUUUACUUUCUGCCCCCUUCUGUGUUGUGUCUCUUAUCAUCUCUCUUUUAUAGAAGUGCUCGAGUGCAAUGGUCACUGACUCAUGUCUGUUGCCAUGUCUAUCAUCACGCCACAGGCGCGCGAUUUGCCUGUACGACUCGCCCAUUGUCUUUGCAGAAGACAAAAUGCAACAAAAU